rnacentral:rRNA from 1 species
UACGGAGGGAGCUAGCGUUAUUCGGAAUUACUGGGCGUAAAGCGCACGUAGGCGGCUUUGUAAGUUAGAGGUGAAAGCCUGGAGCUCAACUCCAGAAUUGCCUUUAAGACUGCAUCGCUUGAAUCCAGGAGAGGUGAGUGGAAUUCCGAGUGUAGAGGUGAAAUUCGUAGAUAUUCGGAAGAACACCAGUGGCGAAGGCGGCUCACUGGACUGGGUAUUGACGCUGAGGUACGAAAGCGUGGGGGAGCAAACAGG